rnacentral:rRNA from 1 species
CUACGGGCGGCUCCAGUGGGGAAUAUUGCACAAUGGGGGAAACCCUGAUGCAGCAACGCCGCGUGGAGGAUGACACAUUUCGGUGCGUAAACUCCUUUUAUAGGUCAAGAUAAUGACGGUAGCCUAUGAAUAAGCGCCGGCUAACUCCGUGCCAGCAGCCGCGGUAAUACGGAGGGCGCAAGCGUUACUCGGAAUCACUGGGCGUAAAGAGCAUGUAGGCGGGUUAAUAAGUCAGAAGUGAAAUCCAAUAGCUCAACUAUUGAACUGCUUUUGAAACUGUUAACCUAGAGUGUGGGAGAGGUAGAUGGAAUUUCUGGUGUAGGGGUAAAAUCCGUAGAGAUCAGAAGGAAUACCGAUUGCGAAGGCGAUCUACUGGAACAUUACUGACGCUGAGAUGCGAAAGCGUGGGGAGCAAACAGGAUUAAUACCCGAGUAGUC